rnacentral:rRNA from 1 species
CCUACGGGGGGCAGCAGUGGGGAAUAUUGGACAAUGGGCGAAAGCCUGAUCCAGCCAUGCCGCGUGUGUGAAGAAGGCCUUCGGGUUGUAAAGCACUUUCAGUGGGGAAGAAAGCCUUGGGGCUAAUACCCUCGAGGAAGGACAUCACCCACAGAAGAAGCACCGGCUAACUCCGUGCCAGCAGCCGCGGUAAUACGGAGGGUGCGAGCGUUAAUCGGAAUUACUGGGCGUAAAGCGCGCGUAGGCGGUCUGAUAAGCCGGUUGUGAAAGCCCCGGGCUCAACCUGGGAACGGCAUCCGGAACUGUCAGGCUAGAGUGCAGGAGAGGAAGGUAGAAUUCCCGGUGUAGCGGCGAAAUGCGUAGAGAUCGGGAGGAAUACCAGUGGCGAAGGCGGCCUUCUGGACUGACACUGACGCUGAGGUGCGAAAGCGUGGGUAGCAAACAGGAUUAGAUACCCUAGUAGUC